GGAUGAACGCUAGCGGCAGGCCUAACACAUGCAAGUCGAGGGAUAAGCCUUCGGGCUGAAACCGGCGCACGGGUGCGUAACGCGUAUACAAUCUGCCUUUCACAUAGGGAUAGCCCGGAGAAAUUUGGAUUAAUACCUAAUGGUAUAUAAGAGUGGCAUCAUUUUUAUAUUAAAGCUUUGGUGGUGAAAGAUGAGUAUGCGUUCUAUUAGCUAGUUGGAGAGGUAACGGCUCCCCAAGGCGACGAUAGAUAGGGGUUCUGAGAGGGAUGUCCCCCACACUGGUACUGAGAUACGGACCAGACUCCUACGGGAGGCAGCAGUGAGGAAUAUUGGACAAUGGUCGGAAGACUGAUCCAGCCAUGCCGCGUGCAGGACGACGGUCCUAUGGAUUGUAAACUGCUUUUGUAAGGGAAGAAUAAGGAGUACGUGUACUUUGAUGACGGUACCUUACGAAUAAGCAUCGGCUAACUCCGUG
rnacentral:rRNA from 1 species